rnacentral:rRNA from 1 species
GCAUUUGUAUGGUCUGGAGAAGCUUACUUGUCUUAUAGUUUAGCUGCUUUAUCUGUCUUUGGUUUUAUCACUUGUUGUUUAGUAUGGUUCAAUAAUACAGCUUAUCCGAGUGAGUUUUAUGGACCCACCGGGCCAGAAGCUUCUCAAGCUCAAGCAUUUACUUUUCUAG